GAGUUUGAUUAUGGCUCAGGACAAACGCUGGCGGCGUGCAUAACACAUGCAAGUCGAACGAAAUCUACAUGAUUUAGUGGCGAACGGGUGAGUAACACGUGAGAAACCUGCCUUACACAGAGGGAUAGCCGUUGGAAACGACGAUUAAUACCUCAUGACACCGUGACAUCGCAUGAUGAUGCGGUCAAAGAUUAAUCGGUGUAAGAUGGUCUCGCGCCUGAUUAGCUGGUUGGUGGGGUAACGGCCUACCAAGGCGACGAUCAGUAGCCGAUCUGAGAGGGUGGACGGCCACAUUGGGACUGAGACACGGCCCAAACUCCUACGGGAGGCAGCAGUGGGGAAUUUUGCACAAUGGGGGAAACCCUGAUGCAGCGACGCCGCGUGAAACGAAGAAGGCCUUUCGGGUUGUAAAGUUUCUGUNCCUUGGUGAAGAUAAU
rnacentral:rRNA from 1 species